GGAAAAACCGUUACUAACAAACAUUCAAGCGCAAGCAGCGGCACUCAGUGGAGCAGCACGAAAAUCUGAGAGGGCGCUGCGAGCUACAUUGAGUGCUUGGUCACGUGCCACUACUUCAUUCGUGAGGAACCUGGACGACAGACGCUAUUAUCAUCAAUUCUCAAAAGAGACACCAUUGUCCCUAUCGAGGACUUCUUAUUGAUAUUUCACCUGGAUCAAUCUCAAGACAACAUAUUGCUUGUUUGUAGCAACAUAUUGUAGCAAUAAAAAAAAAGACUUGAGAGAAGAGAUUUUUUUUUCUUUGAAAGGACAAAGCAAACAAGAUAAAAAAUAAUUCAAGGUAUGCAACAGGCGAACACAACAAGAUGUCUUCAGCCCUUGUUACCAAAUACCAGUUCUUGAGAGUAAAGACUGGCAGAGGAUGUGCUUAAAAACAAAUUCCAAAAGAGAAAGAUCACCUUUGAUUAAUGUUGAAGAAAUAAAUUAAAUUUGCUGCAGGUUCAGCAAAGAAAACAGAUCAUUUUACCAGGAGUCCAUCAAAAAUAUGGCAGCCAUUGUAGAGAUGGAUGAUCUAUCUGGCCAAGAUUUGUAUCAAAAGAGGCCAAGGCCAGUAGGGGUAAGUGUCACAGACAGAGUCUGGUGGCACAGACAGUGAUCAACGAGUGCCAAAGAAGAGCAGUUGGAGUAGAUAUUGUUACUGAGUUGAAUGAAGAAAAACAAAUCUGCGUUGGUUUUGCACACAAAGGUCUCAAUUUUUGCUGCUGUCCUGCUGUUUCCACUUCUAUUAAAGGAGAGUCAGAGAUCUCUUCAUGUCAUCAGUGAGGAACCACAUACACCCAACACGGUGCUGUUUAUAAAGGAACGUGCCUUGAAUGCAGAGUCUCUUUUAGAAAUAACGAUGGAAGGGGAGGAGGAGGUCUGAGAAGUAGACGAUGUGAACACAGCUCUACACUUCAUCUUCAACACUGAAUAUGCUUCAAAGUUCAGAGACACCCUGACAUUCAUUGAAAACUGUUUAAUAUAUCAUAAUGCCAAAACCAAUAUGCCAGCCACAAUGGCCAUUUUUUUUUUAUUAAAUUAAUGUAUAUGUAUAUAAAUGCAUGAUGUUGAUUGUUGUUUAUUUAUUAAUGUGUUUGUUGGUUUGUUUGUAACACAUAUUUAUGUUUGAUUGUUGUUUAUUUAUUUAUUUAUG